GACGAACGCUGGCGGCGUGCUUAACACAUGCAAGUCGAACGGAAAGGCCCUGCUUGCAGGGUCCUCGAGUGGCGAACGGGUGAGUAACACGUGUGUGAUCUGCCCUGCACUUCGGGAUAAGCCUGGGAAACUGGGUCUAAUACCGGAUAGGAGCCAUUUUUAGUGUGAUGGUUGGAAAGUUUUUUCGGUGUAGGAUGAGCUCGCGGCCUAUCAGCUUGUUGGUGGGGUAAUGGCCUACCAAGGCGGCGACGGGUAGCCGGCCUGAGAGGGUGGACGGCCACAUUGGGACUGAGAUACGGCCCAGACUCCUACGGGAGGCAGCAGUGGGGAAUAUUGCACAAUGGGCGCAAGCCGGAUGCAGCGACGCCGCGUGGGGGAUGACGGACUUCGGGUUGUAAACUCCUUUCGCUAGGGACGAAGCUUUUUGUGACGGUACCUAGAUAAGAAGCACCGGCUAACUACGUG
rnacentral:rRNA from 1 species